ACCGCAUCCCUGCUUUGAUUUCAUCUUUUAUAUUUUUUUGCUCAAAGUCGCGCACUUUUAUGCUUCCACCUCACCAUAAACACGUGUAUGACAAGUUUAUAAUUGUAGCUCCAAAUCGGCGUGUUGGUGUGUGCCACAUGGAGGCAGAGGAGGCCAUAAUUGGCAUUCCUACCUCUGUGUGCCAGCCGGCUCUCUCUCCUCUCGUCAGAGUGAGAGUUGACAAAGAGAGCGCCAAGCGUUUCCAAUCCCACAUCCCUCACUUUUUUUUUCUUCGCGGCCUGUGACGAGAAGAAGGCGAGAUAUGUGUGUGCGAGUGUGUGUGUUUUGGAUUAGUGUCUUGCUGCACAAUAAAUCUUUGUUAAACAAAUGCAAAGCAGAUGGCACCGUGGUGUCUCCACCGUGAGGAGAGAAAGAAAGAGAGAAGGGGAGAGAGAAAAAAGGAGGAAGAAAGAGAAAAAAAAACACGCCUACUCCUUAUUCUCAUCCUCCACAGACACACUGAUCACGCACAUUACACAGACGGUGACUGUGUUGAGCUGCAAAACACUUAAUCCUGGAGUGGAAGCUAAAGGUGGUGUCUGAAUGCUGACGGACACCCAAACACAUUCUGUUCAUGAGAGAGAACAUUUUGUUUAAUAUCAAAAGGGACCGUUAGCGUGCCUGUUGAUAUUAAUGACACAGCUGACAUUUUUUUUUGCCCCAACGCACAUGAAGAAGACGUGACCAGGCCACGCACCCCAUUAAAAUAAGCGGAUUGAAGAAGAACAGGCCUGAUUGUCUCGCCUGAGUGCACUGCCACAGACGGGACCUUAUUCAUACGGAUACUUCAGCAAAUUCAGGUGUCACACCUGCUUAAUCCGGUCCUCGAAGUCGCAGCGGUGGUACAACGGGGAGUGGACCAUAUUAGCAAAGAUCAUCACAGCGCGGAGAAGAAGAAGCGAGAAGAAUGCAUCAAGUACUGUAGUUGAUGGAGUUGCUUUGAAUAAACUAAUUAGGCUGGAGUGUGUAUUUUGCAGCAGGUGCAGUCUGUAUUGCAGGUGCAGCAAUACUCUCUAUUAAUGUGCGGGAAGUACAAUAUCUACGUAAUCAAAGUGAUGGCUCAGCAAACACAUUCUUACCUAUACAUUUUUCCACGGUAGAAAAAAGUUGGGCAGUGUCUGAAAGAUAAAGCCUAAUGUGCACA